CACGACCCCAGGUCAGGUGGGUUACCCGCUGAAUUUAA
rnacentral:rRNA from 1 species